CAGAAAAGGUUGCAGUCUGGCUAGUCUGCCCAGGGAGCAAUGCCCACUCUCUGCAUCAGUGCAGAGGGCCAAGAACAUUUCACGGAGCAGACCAGGACUGCAGGUCAGGGGACCAGGGUGCGGCGAUGAAGCCCAAGUUUUCCAACCAAAGACUGGUGUUUUAUACAUGUUCCUUUCAGGCGAGGCAGCCAUCUCGAGAUAGGAGAAACAGAUUCUGGGAAAAGGUGAUAUUGGGACAGAAUAUUUAACCUCAGACUGGUCCUGGGAAAGAAACCCAGAAUGGAUGACUGCCAUCCUGUGCUGGGAAUUUAGGUAUCUGAGUUCCGAGCUGCACAACUGGAAUUCACAAGAACUUAAAGCGUGGGAACAACAGCCACACUAUACUCGCUUAUGUUGAUUGAUUUAGUACUCAGACACCGUGCUAAGUGACGUUCAUGAGUUUUAACUUGUUAAAGUUUCACAACAACCCUACAGGGUAGGUGCUAGAUUACCUCCACUCUUCAGAUGGGAAGCGGAGGCAAUGCUCAAGGAACGCUGGGGACAGCCAGGCUCAUCUUCACAGGCAGCACCACCAUUUGCAUAGAAGGGGAUAAACCAGAAGGCAGAAACAGGUGCUACCCAGGCAGUGCCUGCAUUAUGCAAAUGUGCCCAUUCUUGGCCCCUGAUUUCCAGAGGGGGGAGGGGAAAUAGGCAGGCAGUUGGAGAGGCUAGCUGUUGAGGGGCCAGUGGUAAAAUGGAGGCAACUGGAAAAAGAAAGCAAUUCCCGUAUGUUGACCUAAGGAGAGGUCCAUCCACAGGAGCGGAGAUGAUUAGGUCAUUUCACGAUGCCACCUGAGCGCCUUCACUUUCCAGAAAAUUAAGAGAAAUGCAAACCAUGUGUUGUAAGUAGCACGCUCUCUUUUCAGCUCUACCUGGCCUCUCAGCCCCACUGUAAGAGACACGUAUCCCUGACUUGGCUCCAAAGGUCACAGUUGCUCCUUCCCCAUCCAAAGGUUUGGGGGAUGGUAAACCGCUGGGAUACCUGACUUCUUCCUCUCAAACCAGAAAAUGCACUUGAUGUCCAUUCAGUGCAGGACUGAUUUGGGGACAGCCUUGGGGCUCUCUGUCUCCCAUUCUCCAGGGAGGAAAGUGAGAUGCACUUGUUCCCAGGGACCUUUUGUGAAAUGGAGCUGGCCAAGCUGUGUUUCUCCCUUCUUAACCCUCAGCUAGGUCCCUGCAGGGACCGGUUUGGCUCAGUGGCAUUUGGCCUGGAAUAGAGCUGGGGUUCCUGCUCUUGCUAGUGUCAUUAUUACCAGGUUUGCGGUUUUGUCUGGAGUUUGGGGAACCGAUUCUCCAGGGAGCUGGGACCAAGUCUUGUAUUUCUCCUUGUGUUCUCCCUUACUCUUGGCCAUUUCUCAGAACUUCUUAGAACCUCCACCAGGGUGGAAGGAAGAAAACAGGAGGGGCAACUCCAGGUCGCUUGGUAGGCUUGCAGGUUGGUGGACCUGGGAAAACCAGCUAGCACCUGGAGGUUAGGAACACCAGAACUAUUCCCCAAACUCGGAACAGAGACGGCACCCAAUGAAUAUAUCAAAUAAAAACAUCAAUGAAUCCUGCAUGGGGGAGAAACCCUACAAGAUGUGGGUUAGAAAAAAAUUAUCUGCAGGGGCGCCUGGGUGGCUCAGUCAGUUAAGCAUCUGACUUCAGCUCAGGUCACGAUCUUGCGGUUCGUGAGUUUGAGACCCACCUUGGGCUCUGUGCUAACAGCUCAGAGCCUGAAGCCUAUUUCAGAUUCUGUGUCUCCCUCUUUCUGCCCCUCCUGCCUGCUCACACUCUGUCUCUGUCUCCCUCUCUCAAAAGUAAAUAAACAAAAAAAAAUUAUCUGUUGAUGUUGAAGGCAAGGGAUAAUUUGUGAGUUAACUGUGUCAGGUUUACAAAUUUGCCAUGAUUUCCAAAAUAAUCUCUUCAGAACCUUUUUUUUUUUUUUUUUAGCCCUUGGAUUGAAUGUUUAUUUAGUUUUGAAAGAGAGACAGAGACAGAGUAAGCAGGGGGGGGGGGGCAGAGAGAGAGGGAGACACAGAAUCCAAAGCAGCUCCAGGCUCCCAGAUGUCAGCCCAGAGCCCGACGUGGGGCUCAGACUCACGAAAUGUGAGCUCAUGACCCAAGUCGAAGUUGAUGCCCAACCGGCUGAGACACCUAGGCGCCCCUAGAUCUUGGGUUUAAUUCUCCAGAAUUUAUAUUACAGUUCUGUCUGAUGUUUGAACCAGAUUAAUUUAGAUUUGAGCAGUUUUGUCACAGCUUUUCAUCUUUGCCUAACUCUGACUGGACUAGGUUUGCUCCCCAGUUAAAAAGCAGAGUUGUAAAUGGGCAAUGCACUCUGGAUGGUUGUGUUGCCUUAAAAUGGCUUUGGGGCAGAAGCUCUUUUGAGCCCUAGCCCCACAACCAAUGCCAGUCCUUGAAUCAUUGUUUUAGCUUCAGAAAGGACCCUUGAGUGGUCUCCGGGUCUAAUGACCUUAUUUACUGGUUGACAGUAAACUGAGACUCAGUUAGGGGAAGUGACUGUGACAGAGGGAAUUAUUACUCCCUGAUUCUUCAUGCCUUUCCUUCACACCCUUUGCCUUGUGGCUCUGCUGUUCUUCUGGCUAGAGUAGGCAGAGUAUAUUUUCCCUACUCCCAUUGAUGUUGGGCACAAGUCACCAGCCAAGGCCCUAGGAGGCACCUCAUGUUUCCACCAGUCCUCUAGCAUUCCAAUGAUCCAUCAUGAGAAGAACAUUCCCCGGGUAGCCACAGGGUCCAAGGAAAAUGAGCAAACCUAUGGAGUAGACAUGAAACCCACCCACAGCCUGAACCAAACAUAAUCAUGCUGUAGCUGGAAGGAGAACUGCUCGGUCGGUCAGUGCCUGCUAAGAUGACUCAAACCACAGUCAACCUGUAGAUAUGUGAGCAGGAGAAUAAAUUCUUGUGGUGCUAAACCACUGAGUUUAGGGAUGGUUUGUUAGGCAGUUUCCUGAGUUAAUGGCUGACUGAUACAGUUACUGGGCUGAAACCCCACUCCCUAUUCCCCUCUGACUGGAGCACAUUUUUCCCUCUAAAGAGAUCUAGCAAUGCUGUGGGGUCCUGAGUCUACUCACCAUCCACACCAUCAUGUAGGAGAAGGCUGCAAUCCAUAACGUGGAGGAAGCAAAUGUCACCAUGAACCACUUUUCCCAGCGUGGCUUGUUGCAGUUGGGUACCGUGAAGUAUAAGACAAAACUCAGUGGCCAGGUGAAUGCCCACUUCACUGUUUCCAG
rnacentral:lncRNA from 1 species